UUGGACUUCAUUUUCAUCCACCUGUGCACCUAUUGUAGUCUUUGGUUGGGUUAGGAGGAAGUGGUCAUCCUNUCAGCAUUUGCUGGAUGUGAGGACUUGCAUUGUGAAAACNGUGCUGUCCUUUNUGUGAUCAUGAAAUCACUUUCUCACCAGAGUCUAUGUCUUUCAUUAUACUCUGUCGAAUGUCAUUGAAUGUCUUUACAUGGGCUUGUAUGCCUAUGAAAAUUGUAAUACAACUUUC
rnacentral:rRNA from 1 species